UUCGAGACUGUCCUCCUCUUAAAAACGACCACAUAGGUCGUUUGUGCAAGCAGCAUAUUACGACCUAUUAUUACGUUUUAAAAUCAAGCGCCCUCUAGCGGCCGUAUUACGACAGUCUCGUUUGUCGGGUGUGUCGUCAUCAAAUGACCUUUGACUGUCGUUACCAUCGUUACCACCCAAAAAAAGGAGGCGUGACCCAACAUCUUACCAUGCGUUGUUGUCCAGGUUUGUAAACAAUUUUAUUUUAUGGUUUAUUUUUUAAGGUACUGUUCUGAUUGUCUGCAAUUAAUGUCAAAUUUUGCAGUUUCUUCAUAUCACAUACAUCUCCAGCUCCUACAACAACAUUCAGUGUCCAGCAGCUCUUUAUGAUGCUCUCUCUCUCUCUCUCUCUCUCUCUCUCUCUCUCUCUCUCUCUCUCUCUCUCUCUCUCUUUCUCUCUCACUCUCUCUCUCUCUCUCUCUCUCAUUUUCGUUUCCUAUUUUUCUGAACUGUAAUUCAUAAAUAAGUCACACAUAUUUUUCUUUCUUUCUCUUGUUCAUCAUGGCAUAUUUUCACAGCUCAGAAUCAGAUUUUGAUCAGUUCUUGUAUUAACAGGGAACUUGUACUCGAAGCUCAACUUGAAGAAGUUUCCAGUGAAGAUGAAGUCCUUCAAAGGUUCGACACAGCUGAAAAGGAAGACCAUGGGCCUGUCAAACCUUGUUUGUGGAGAGGGAUGAAUUUGACCAUCUUGUGUGUUUACGGAGAAGACCAAAAGCUGCUAAGGCAGAUAUUUCCAGAGGAUUUCUGACAGAUUACUGAGUCCUUCUCCAUCAGCUCUCCACAAUAGCAGCCCUUCCAAAAGCAUCCACAUCACUCUCUCUUGUGUGGCACAUCUGCUCUCAGUCGUUAGCAUGUCUACUUGUAUUAUUUCUCCUCUAGUCAACACUCCCAUCUCUACUGUGAACACUCCUGUCACUAUCACCAUCCCACCUACUGUAUUCUAUAUGCCAUAUAUAUAUAUAUAUAUAUAUAUAUAUGUGUGUGUGUGUGUGUGUGUGUGUGUGUGUGUGUGACCUUUAAGGUCAUUUAAUGAUAGAAAUGCAUUUUCCAGCUGAAAAUGAUUUAUAAAGUAUAAUUAUUAAUAACCGUUUUAGUUUGUCUUGCAUAUGUUCACAACAGAAGCGAUCAGUGAUUACAGGAGAUUAAGAGGUAAUCAUGUGAAAUAUUAGUCUUAACAAUAUUUUUCUAAUUAGUUAAUCACUUUUAAAUGAAAGAAAAGAAUAUGAUUUCAGCUGGUGCCUUGCAACUCCUGGUUUGUAAAAAUAUUAUUUGGCAUUUUAUAAACUUCUCUGCAAACAAAUUGACAAUUUUUAUUUAUUUAUUCAUUUUUUUUAUUUUAUAUAUAUAUUUUUAUAUUAGCCAAUUUAGUUUUAAAGGGAUUUUCUAUUACAUAAUUCUGUCUGUACCUAUUAGUUACUUUAUCAAUCAGUAAUUUUUAAAAGUUGUUAUAUUUCACAAUAAUAUAUUAUUUUUUUGUUUUUAUUUCUUCAUAGUGACAAACUAGAGAGAAAGAAUGGUGUUAUUUGCAUUGUUUGUCUGAAAAGUUUGACAUAUCAAUAAACACUGAUAUGGAAAUUACUAAAAAAAAA